rnacentral:rRNA from 1 species
UACAGAGGGUGCGAGCGUUAAUCGGAAUUACUGGGCGUAAAGCGUGCGCAGGCGGUUUUGUAAGUCUGUCGUGAAAUCUCCAGGCUCAACUUGGAGGGGUCAUUCGAUACUGCCAUGACUAGAGUUCGGUAGGGGAGUGUGGAAUUCCUGGUGGAGCGGUGAAAUGCGCAGAUAUCAGGAGGAACACCCGUAGCGAAGGCGGCACUCUGGGCCGGAACUGACGCUGAGGAGCGAAAGCGUGGGGAGCGAACAGG